rnacentral:rRNA from 2 species
CAACUCUCAACAACGGAUAUCUUGGCUCCCGCAUCGAUGAAGAACGCAGCGAAAUGCGAUACGUAGUGUGAAUUGCAGAAUUCCGUGAAUCAUCGAAUCUUUGAACGCAUAUUGCGCUCGAGACUUCGGUCGAGAGCAUGCCUGUCUCAGCGUCGGCUCACCCCUCGCCCACCCUUUCCCCUGUUCGCAGCGGAAAGGUGCCUGGACGGACGUGGCCGUCUCGCUUCUCUUUCAACAGAGAAGCGGGUC